UUUUGUAUAGUUUAUAGAUAAAACCUUAUAUUUUCAUUAUAAAAAUAAAGACAAUUUUAAUUCUUUUACAAAAA
rnacentral:tRNA from 1 species